GACGGAGGGGGCUAGCGUUGUUCGGAAUUACUGGGCGUAAAGGGCGCGUAGGCGGAUUAGUAAGUUGGGAGUGAAAGCCCGUGGCUUAACCUCGGAACUGCUUUCAAAACUGCUAGUCUUGAGUGAAGUAGGGGAUGAUGAAAUUCCUAGUGUAGAGGUGAAAUUCUUAGAUAUUAGGAGGAACACCGGUGGCGAAGGCGGUCAUCUGGACUUCAACUGACGCUGAGUCGCGAAAGCGUGGGGAGCAAACAGG
rnacentral:rRNA from 1 species